AGAGGAAGCCGGUGAGAAUCCGGCGCGGUCCCGCCACUGUCACCGGACGCCCGCCACCCGCGGGGCCCGUCCGGAAGCCAGGAGACUC
rnacentral:ncRNA from 2 species